GCCGAGAACCACGUGGCGUUUCUCAUCACCGUCCCCACCGCCCUGGCGAUUUUCUUUGCGAUAUUCAUCCUCGUCUGCAUCGAGUCUGUGUUCAAGAAGCUGCUCCGCCUCUUCUCGCUGGUCAUCUGGACCUGCCUCGUGGCCAUGGGCUUCCUCUUCAUGUGCUUCGGCGGCACCGUCUCUCCCUGGGACCAGGUGUCCUUCUUCCUCUUCAUCAUCUUCGUGGUGUACACCAUGCUGCCCUUCAACAUGCGCGACGCCAUCAUCGCCAGCGUGCUCACCUCCGCCUCCCACACCGUCGUGCUGAGCGUCUGCCUGUCGGCCAGGGCUGAGGAACACCUCGUCUGGCAGGAAAGCCUGUAAUUCAGUAAUAUGAAGAAGAACAGCUUCG